UAAGGAAUAUUGGUCAAUGGACGGAAGUCUGAACCAGCCAUGCCGCGUGCAGGAAGACGGCCUUCUGGGUUGUAAACUGCUUUUCUACGGGAAGAACAGUCAAUACGUGUAUUGAUUUGACGGUACUGUAGGAAUAAGGAUCGGCUAACUCCGUGCCAGCAGCCGCGGUAAUACGGAGGAUCCGAGCGUUAUCCGGAUUUAUUGGGUUUAAAGGGUGGUCAGGUGGUUUAUUAAGUCGGGGGUGAAAUUCAGCGGCUCAACCGUUGGUUGUCCUUCGAUACUGAUAAACUUGAAUGUAGUUGAAGAAGGCGGAAUGUGGCAAGUAGCGGUGAAAUGCAUAGAUAUGCCACAGAACACCUAUUGCGAAGGCAGCUUUCUAAACUAUUAUUGACACUGAACC
rnacentral:rRNA from 1 species